GUGUAUUCUUUAUUGUAAGGGUUCUGUUUCUCUCUCUCCCCACCCACAACCAUCCCCACCCUCGUCCUCUCAUAUGCUCACUUGGCCUCUGCCUUCCACCAUAUGGUGAUGCAGCAAGAAGACCAAAUGUGGAAUCUUGGACCAGGUCUGUGAGACAGAUUAACUUUUAUUGUUUAUAAAUUAUCCAAUGUAUGAUAUUCUAUUAAAAUAGUACAAAAUGGAUUAAGAUGUGUCCUAAAGUGCUAACUUGGACCUGGAUUUAUCAUUCCCUGGCAGAUGAAGAGAAUGCCAUCAGAAGUGGUGUGGAGGCUACAGAUAAUCCCUUGCUCCAGAUUUUGCAGGUGGUGACCUUGAAAAUUGUCCAGGUGUCCAGUAAAUCUCAAAAGAAAGAGGAGCUGAAUAUAUGACUUCCUACAGGUUUGUCUGAGGUAAGGGAUCCUUUUGCACAAAGUGGAGGUCUCUGCUUCUGACUCAAUAUCAAUCACACUCUUAGAGGGUGCUGCUUCCCUCAGAAAUUUCAUUGUUGAACUUAGUUGGGUUGCAUCUUGGGCUCAGAAGUCACGUUUUGUCUUUUGUGAACCUGUAAAAAUGCCAGGAUUCUAUUUUGUUGUUGUUGUUAUUGUUGUUGAGAAUGUGGCAUGGGAAAUUCAAGGGGUAGGCUGCAGCUUCCUGUCUUCUCUCAUGUCCUCCAUGGGCACAGCUCUUACUUUAAGGCACAUCCAUCUCAACGAUGUUGAUGUUAGGAAGACUUCAGACUAAAAUAUUCAGUAAAUGAAGUUUAAUCCACCAAGAAGCCACACCGUGGGCUGAAUUGGAAUAAUCCCUGGAGUCUCAAAUUAAUCCUUGUUAGACAUAAGUUCCAUAAUGUCAUCAGGAAGUUUUUCAGUUCCUAGUUCUUGCAAUUUCCCUUUUAUGGCACCCUGGAUAUUGCAGCUGUACCUGGGUACAGACCCUGGGUCAUCAGAGUUCCAAGGUUACCAACUUCAGCUCCCAAACCCUAGCUAGCAUUGGCUGUUUAUUCUGGCUACAUGAUGUUUAAAGUUAAAGGUUUCUUAGAUGUAACUUGAUAGGUUAAAAAAAAGGUUGCUUCCUACCAUGGCCAAUGACUAAUUGUUUUGGAAGCAUCCAGCUAAUUUUCAAGCUGUCUUUUAAGCUUCAUAACCUUUAAAAAUCAGCAUUUAAAAUAAAUCUAUGACCUAAAUACA
rnacentral:lncRNA from 1 species